rnacentral:rRNA from 1 species
GAUGAACGCUGGCGGCGUGCCUAAUACAUGCCAGUCGAGCGAACGGACGAGAAGCUUGCUUCUCUGAUGUUAGCGGCGGACGGGUGAGUAACACGUGGAUAACCUACCUAUAAGACUGGGAUAACUUCGGGAAACCGGAGCUAAUACCGGAUGAUAUUUUGAACCGCAUGGUUCAAAAGUGAAAGACGGUCUUGCUGUCACUUAUAGAUGGAUCCGCGCUGCAUUAGCUAGUUGGUAAGGUAACGGCUUACCAAGGCAACGAUGCAUAGCCGACCUGAGAGGGUGAUCGGCCACACUGGAACUGAGACACGGUCCAGACUCCUACGGGAGGCAGCAGUAGGGAAUCUUCCGCAAUGGGCGAAAGCCUGACGGAGCAACGCCGAGUGAGUGAUGAAGGUCUUCGGAUCGUAAAACUCUGUUAUUAGGGAAGAACAUAUGUGUAAGUAACUGUGCACAUCUUGACGGUACCUAAUCAGAAAGCCACGGCUAACUACGUG